AGUGAACGCUGGCGGUAGGCCUAACACAUGCCAGUCGAACGGCAGCACAGUAAGAGCUUGCUCUUACGGGUGGCGAGUGGCGGACGGGUGAGGAAUACAUCGGAAUCUACUUUUUCGUGGGGGAUAACGUAGGGAAACUUACGCUAAUACCGCAUACGACCUACGGGUGAAAGCAGGGGAUCUUCGGACCUUGCGCGAUUGAAUGAGCCGAUGUCGGAUUAGCUAGUUGGCGGGGUAAAGGCCCACCAAGGCGACGAUCCGUAGCUGGUCUGAGAGGAUGAUCGGCCACACUAGAGCUGAGACACGGUCCAGACUCCUGCGGGAGGCAGCAGUGGGGAAUAUUGGACAAUGGGCGCAAGCCUGAUCCAGCCAUACCGCGUGGGUGAAGAAGGCCUUCGGGUUGUAAAGCCCUUUUGUUGGGAAAGAAAAGCAGCAGGUUAAUACCCCGCUGUUCUGACGGUACCCAAAGAAUAAGCACCGGCUAACUUCGUG
rnacentral:rRNA from 1 species